CCUACGGGAGGCAGCAGUGAGGAAUAUUGGUCAAUGGGCGAGAGCCUGAACCAGCCAAGUCGCGUGAAGGAUGACGGUCCUACGGGUCGUAAACCUCUUUUGUCAGGGAGCAAUUGCGUCCACGUGUGGUCUUAGCGAGAGUACCUGAAGAAAAAGCACCGGCUAACUCCGUCCCAGCAGCCGCGGCAAUACGGAGGUGCCGAGCGUUACCCGGAUUGAUUGGGUUUAAGGGGAGCGUAGAUGGGUUGUUAAGUCAGUUGGUAAGGUUUGCGGCUAAACCGGAAAAUGGCAAUUAAUAGUGGCAGUCUUGAGUACAGUUGAGGUAGGCGAAAUUCGUGGGGUAGCGGUGAAGUGCUU
rnacentral:rRNA from 1 species